rnacentral:rRNA from 1 species
GACGAACGCUGGCGGCGUGCCUAAUACAUGCAAGUAGAACGCUGAAGGAGGAGCUUGCUUCUCUGGAUGAGUUGCGAACGGGUGAGUAACGCGUAGGUAACCUGCCUUGUAGCGUGGGAUAACUAUUGGAAACUAUAGCUAAUACCGCAUAAGAGUAGAUGUUGCAUGACAUUUGCUUAAAAGUUGCAAUUGCAUCACUACCAGAUGGACCUGCGUUGUAUUAGCUAGUUGUUGGGGUAACGGCUCACCAAGGCGACGAUACAUAGCCGACCUGAGAGGGUGAUCGGCCACACUGGGACUGAGACACGGCCCAGACUCCUACGGGAGGAAGCAGUAGGGAAUCUUCGGCAAUGGACGGAAGUCUGACCGAGCAAGGCCGAGUGAGUGAAGAAGGUUUUCGGAUCGUAAAGCUCUGUUGUAAGAGAAGAACGAGUGUGAGCGUGGAAAGUUCACACUGUGACGGUAUCUUACAAGAAAGGGCCGGCUAACUACGUG